rnacentral:rRNA from 1 species
AUGAACGCUGGCGGCGUGUCUAAGGCAUGCAAGUCGAACGGGUUACUGGAGUCAGCAAUGAUUUUAGUGACUAGUGGCAAACGGGUGAGUAACACAUUAGUAAUCUGCCCCAAAGUUCGGAAUAACGGUCCGAAAGGACCGCUAAUACCGGAUGUGAUCCAAGGAUGAUGUCCUUGGAGGAAAGCCCAAAAGGCGCUUUGGGAGGAACUUAUGGCUUAUCAGCUAGUUGGUGGGGUAAUGGCCCACCAAGGCUAUGACGAGUAGCAGGCGUGAGAGCGCGACCUGCCUCAGUGGAACUGAGACACUGUCCACACUCCUACGGGAGGCUGCAGUCGAGAAUUUUCCUCAAUGGGCGAAAGCCUGAAGGAGCGACGCCGCGUGCGGGAUGAAGGGCUUCGGCCUGUAAACCGCUUUUAUUUGGGAAGAAGUGCAAACUGACGGUACCAAAUGAAUAAGAGGUUGCUAACUCUGU